rnacentral:rRNA from 1 species
UACAGAGGUCUCAAGCGUUGUUCGGAUUCAUUGGGCGUAAAGGGUGCGUAGGCGGCGCGGUAAGUCGGGUGUGAAAUCUUGGAGCUUAACUCCGAAACUGCAUUCGAUACUGCCGUGCUUGAGGACUGGAGAGGAGACUGGAAUUUACGGUGUAGCGGUGAAAUGCGUAGAUAUCGUAAGGAAGACCAGUGGCGAAGGCGG